CGAACGGGUGAGUAAUGCGUGACCGACCUGCCCCAUGCUCCGGAAUAGCUCCUGGAAACGGUAGCUAAUACCGCAUAACGUCGCAAGACCAAAGAGGGGGACCUUCGGGCCUCUUGCCAUCAGAUGUGCCCAGAUGGGAUUAGCUAGUAGGUGGGGUAACGGCUCACCUAGGCGACGAUCCCUAGCUGGUCUGAGAGGAUGACCAGCCACACUGGAACUGAGACACGGUCCAG
rnacentral:rRNA from 1 species